CUGACGGACAGCAAGGAGCUGAAGAAGAAACUGGAUUUGGCAAAUGCAGUGGUUGAAGUAGCUCCGGAAUCUAAGCUGGUCUUGACUCAUGCCUGAUGUGCCCCGGUUUCCAGAUGAAUCCCACACCAUAGGUUUGUCCUUCUGCCAUGCUGAAGAGCAUCCUGACUGUGGUGUCCCACAUCAUGACCAUCUAGCUCUUCCUCCCAACACAUGACUCACUGCUUCCUGAUUUUCUGCCCUGUUUAUUUUCCCUGUGAUAUACCACAGAGAGAACAUUGGUCCUUCUUUAUUACGAAGUUUUUAUCCUUACCCACUGGAUCUAGGCAUGGCCUAAAAUCUACUUCUUCUAGGAACACUUCUCUGACAAAUUCAGAGAAGUUGAAUCAGUUCUCAAUUUGUAUUGUCCUUAAAUUUGUACAUUUAGUUUAGAAAUUUUAUUAUACAUUUUUUUGAGACAAGGUAUUGCUAUAAAGGACAGGCUGGCCUUGAACUCGUGAUUUUCUUGCUCCAUCUUCCCAUGUGUUGGGAUCACAGGCAUAAGCUGUGAUGCUCCGAUUGAUUUUUGUUUUUGUUAUACUAUUUAUUUGUUUAUUAGACAGAGUAGCUCUGUAUAGCUCUGGCUUGCCUUGAAAUCAUAGAGGUUGGCCUGCCCCUGAGACCUUCCAAGUGCUUAGAUUAAAGAUAUUCACUGCCAUGACCAUC
rnacentral:lncRNA from 1 species